rnacentral:rRNA from 1 species
CAGCAGGGAAGAAAAUGACGGUACCUGACUAAGAAGCCCCGGCUAACUACGUGCCAGCAGCCGCGGUAAUACGUAGGGGGCAAGCGUUAUCCGGAUUUACUGGGUGUAAAGGGAGCGUAGACGGCGGUGCAAGCCAGAUGUGAAAGCCCGGGGCUCAACCCCGGGACUGCAUUUGGAACUGUGCUGCUAGAGUGUCGGAGAGGCAGGCGGAAUUCCUAGUGUAGCGGUGAAAUGCGUAGAUAUUAGGAGGAACACCAGUGGCGAAGGCGGCCUGCUGGACGAUGACUGACGUUGAGGCUCGAAAGCGUGGGGAGCAAACAGGAUUAAAUACCCUGGUAGUCCACGCCGUAAACGAUGACUACUAGGUGUCGGGCAG